GAUGAACGCUGGCGGCGUGCCUAAUACAUGCAAGUCGAGCGAACGGACGAGAAGCUUGCUUCUCUGAUGUUAGCGGCGGGCGGGUGAGUAACACGUGGAUAACCUACCUAUCAGACUGGGAUAACUUCGGGAAACCGUAGCUAAUACCGGAUGAUAUUUUGAACCGCAUGGUUGAAAAGUGAAAGACGGUGUUUCGGUAACUUCUAGAUGGAUCCGCGCUGCAUUAGCUAGUUGGUAAGGUAACGGCUUACCAAGGCAACGAUGCAUAGCCGACGUGAGAGGGGGAUCGGCCACACUGGAACGGAGACACGGUCCAGACUCCUGCGGGAGGCAGCAGUAGGGAAUCGUCCGCAGUGGGCGAAAGCCUUACGGAGCAACGCCGCGUGAGUGGUGAAGGUCUUCGGAUCGUAAAACUCUGUUAUUAGGGAAGAACAGAUGUGUAAGUAACUGUGCACAUCUUGACGGUACCUAAUAAGAAAGCCACGGCUAACUACGUG
rnacentral:rRNA from 1 species